GCCCGGAUGGUGGAAUUGGUAGACACGCUAGUUUCAGGUACUAGUGCCGCGAGGUGUGCCUGUUCAAGUCAGGUUCCGGGCA
rnacentral:tRNA from 1 species